rnacentral:tRNA from 1 species
GCAUCGGUGGCUCAGUGGUAGAAUGCUCGCCUCCCACGCGGGUUCGAUUCCCGGCCGAUGCA